AACGCCGGACCUGGCAGACUCUCUGUGCCUCAAAAUGACCCAACAUUGGAGUCGGAUGGCCCCCAGAAGGAUGUUUCUACUUCCCACUAAUUUGAAAAAUCAGAGAUAUUGUCUUUCAGCUGGGGCCACAUAGCCAUCCUGAUCAACAGCCAUAUAUCUUAAAUUGGCAGGACCUCUGCAAAUCUCAUCCUCCAUGGGUGAAGCCGUUCCUUGUCCCUGUCCCCGCCACUACUGCUUCCCCCAUGAUUCUAUCUCUCAAACCCUCUGCUCCUCCUCCUCCACCCUCUGUUCUCCCUGAGUCUCAAGACUCUACUGGACUCUCCUCCCCCUUCUUAUCCCCUGCCCUCAUCCCCCAACCCCCAACAACCUCUAAGUGAUUCCGCUGCUGCUGACUCAGCCUCUCCGCCAUUGGAGGAAGCUAGGCCAGCCCAGCACCCUCUAGAUGACUACCCCGUGGCACACACAGCCCCUCCUUUCUGGAGGAAGCUGGCCCAGCUAAAAGAACUCAAAGAACUCCUUGGCGUUUUCACACCUGCCUACUUGGGAUGACUGCCAAUUAAUCCUAGGGACUCUCUUCAUGACAGAGGAACGAGACAGAAACCUCCUGGAAGCUAGAAAAAAAUAUCCUCGGACCAGAUGAGAGACCGACACAACUUCCCAACAUAAUCAAAGCCGGCUUCCCCUUCUUGAACUGACCCAACUGAGACCCCAACACCUUUGAAGGUAGGGAGCAUCUGUCCACUUAUUGCCAGGCCCUAAUAGUGGGUUUCCAAGCGGCCACUAGGCAACCAACCAAUUUGGCCAAGGUAAGAGAGAUUAUUCAAGGGCCUGAUGAAUAUCCCUCUAUGUUUCUAGAGAGAAUUAUGGAGGCAUAUAGGAGAUAUACUCCUUUUGAUCCUCAGGCAGAGGAUCAAAAGGCAUCUGUCAUGAUGGCCUUCAUUGGGCAAGCUGCCCUGGAUAUUAAAAGAAAGUUACAAUGCUUAGAUGGAUUACAAGAUAUGACUUUGAGAGAUUUAGUCAGAGAAGCUGAGAAAGUAUACUAUAAGAGAGAAACAGAGAGAAAGAUAGGGAGCAAAGGGGGAUGAGAUAUGCAAAAGACAGACUAAGGCAUUGACUAAGGUCCUGGUCACAACAAUAAAUAGGCCAUAAAUUAAGAAACAGGGAGAAAGGAAGGGAUACCUGAGGCCACCCCUGGCCUCAGAUCAAUGUGUCUACUGUAAAGAAAAAGGACAUUGGGCCAAAGAGUGCCCUAGAAAUAGACAGCGACGCCAGCCAGCCAUUCUGACUCUGGAGGAUGACUAAGAAAGUCGGGGCUCAGAUCCCCUCCCCGGGUUCAGGGUAACUUUUGAAGUGCAGGGGACCCCAAUAAACUUUGAAGUGGAUACAGGGACAAUAUACUCAGCCCUUAAGGCCCCAUUGGGCCCUCUAUCAAAUAAAAGGUCUCUAGUUCAAAGGGCUAACGGCAGUAAAUAUCAGACUUAGACAACUAAGAGGACCAUGGACAUGGGGAAAAGAAAAAUCCAUCACUCCUUCCUAGUAAUCCCAGAAUGCCUGGCCCCAUUGAUGGGAAGAGAUCUGCUCACCAAGCUCUGGGCCAAAACAUCUUUUAACCCUGAAGGCCCCAAAAUGAAACUUCUAAAUCCUUCAAUAAAAACUCCUAUAGUCAUGGCUUUAAAUAUGUCAGUAGAAGAUGAACAGCAACUCUUCACACCCCCCAAGACUGAUCAAACAGGCAAGCUACCCCAGAAAUGAAUUACAGAUUACCCAGAUGCCUGGGCAAAAACUGCUAGGUUAUGCCUAGCAGUGAAACCAUCUCCAAUAACAGUGGAGUUAAAAACUUCAGCCUCCCCAAUCAAUGUCAAACAAUAUCCUCUGAGCAAAAAAGCUAAAGAUGGGAUAAGGCCCCAUAUUCAGAAAUAUCUGGCCUUAGAGGUCCUAAGGCCCUGUUAAUUGGCCUGGAAGAAUCCCGUGCUAACAGUAAAAAAUGCCAGGAACCGGGGACAAUCACCCCAUUACAGACCUAAGAGAGAUCAACAACAGAGUGCAGGACAUUCACCCCACGGUACCUAAUCGAUACAAUCUGCUUAUCACUCUGAACCCUGAGCAGAAAUGGUAUACUGUUCUGGACUUAAAAGAUGCUUUCUUUUGCUUGCCUCUGCAUAAAGAUAGUCAGUUACUGUUUGCUUGUGAGUGGGUAGACCCAGAAACCGGAACGUCUAGUCAACUAACUUGGACUAGACUCCCACAGGGGUUCAAAAACUCCCCCACUCUCUUUGAUGAAGCCCUCCACAGAGAUCUCAACAAUUUCAGAACUACACACCCCAAAGUCACCCAGCUUCAAUACGUGGAUGACCUGCUACUGGCAGCCAACACCAAGGAAAACUGUGAGUCUGAUACCCAAGCACUAUUAUAUGAGCUUGCUCAACUCAGGUAUAUAGCUUCUGCCAAAAAGGCCCAAAUUUGCCAGAAAGAAGUAAUCUUCCUGGGCUAUUCCCUUAGGGGCGGUAAAUGAUGGCUCACUGAGCCCAGAAAACAAACGGUUGUGCAGGUACCACCCCCAUCUAACAGCAGACAACACAGAGUGUUUCUUGGGACUGCUGGGUUUUGCAGGUUAUGGAUUCCUGUGUCUGCAUUCUUAACUUCUCCUUUAUACCCGCUGUUAAAGGGAGAUGCCCAAUUCCAAUGGACCCCUGAGAACCAGCAAGCUUUUGAUAACAUGUAAAGACACUGAUACUGAACUCCUCAACUUCACUGAACCAAGCCUGCAAUUUCAGAAAGCCCUACACUACAUUAAAAAUGUACAUCAAUUCACUCAUCUUGGUUCAAAGAAACUGCAGGCAUUCCUGAAGGAUCAAGAACAGAGUUUUUGACUAACCGACUCAAAGCAAAAGGAAAUAUCUGAAUGGGUAACAAAAGCCUGUCGGGUCUGUCAAUAGGUUAAUUCUUACCCUUCCAAUCUUCCUGCAGGAAAGCACCUACGAGGAACCAGACCAGGACAAUUCUGGGAAGUGGACUUUACUGAAUUUAAGCCAGCAAGGUAUGGACUAUUUCCUAGUCUUUGUAGAUGCAUUUUCAUGAUGGAUUGAAGCCUUCCCCAGAAAAAAAGGCCCAAAUGCUGUUAAAGAAGAUCCUGAAAGAUAUUUUUCCAAGAUACGGCCUGCCUAAGGUAAUAGGGUCUGAUAAUGGACCGGCGUUCAUGGCCCAGGUAAGUCAGGGGUUAGCCAGGACCCUGGGGAUUAAUUGGAAGUUACAUUGUGCUUAAAGACCCCAGAGCUCAGGACAGGUAAAAAAAACUAAAAGGAACCAUUAAAGAGACCUUAACAAAAUUAAGCUUAGAGAGCGGCAUAAAAGAUUGGACUAUGCUCCUGCCUUAUGCACUGUUUCAUGCAAGAAAUACUCCCUCUGUUUCUUUGUGUAACCUCACCCCCUAUGAAAUUCUCUAUGGGGCCCCUCCUCCAGUAAGGGACCUAACCCCAACUGUAAGACCUAACGAUCCCUUCCAAACCCCCUUGCUUGACAGACUUAAAGCUCUUGAAAGAACUCAGUGAUACCUGUGGAAACAGCUGGCCACUGCCUACCAACCUGGUGAAGAGGGGACUCAACAUCGAUAUCAAGUAAGAGACUUCAUCUACAUAAGAUGACAUCAGGUGUCGUUCCUGGAACCCCGCUGGACAGGACCAUACCAGGUGCUACUUAUGACACCUACAGUGGUAAAGGUAGACGGAAUCACUUCCUGGAUCCUAAUUCUCAUCUCAACCUGCGCCCUAUCCAGACUCUGGCUGGAAACCUGAAAAGACUGGUAACCCUUUCAAAUUGCAUAUUCACCAUGUGGAUAAGGCUAUAGACUCUCCCCUUGGCCACCAGUAGUCCUAACCCUCAUCAGCCCAUUCAGCAGCGAUGGCUGAUCACAAAUCCUACUAGACAAGAAGUAUCAUAUAUCUUGCAUACAGCCCCCUUAGGGACCUGGUGGCCAUCUCUCCACCCAGACAUUUGUCAGCUGGCAAUAGGUCUUUCCUAUUGGGAUAUCCCUGAUGAAGAGGAUCCCAAUAAAAUUCCAUUAAAUCCCUUCCAUACCAUAGAUAAUGGAAACAAACAUUAUGGAUGUAGGGACAUGCGAGCCAGAUGCAGGUUGGCUAGCCUAGAUUACUAUGUUUGCCCGGCGGACUAUCAAAGCCACAAAGAGCCACGGCUAUGUGGGGGAAAAGAAGACUUCUUCUGUAAAUAAUGGGGAUGUGAGCACACAGGGGCUGCCUGGUGAAACCCAAACUCCUCAUCAAAUUCAGUACACAGCAUUGGCCAUAUUACCAAUUAGA
rnacentral:lncRNA from 1 species